rnacentral:rRNA from 1 species
AGAUUCCCCACCGCAAGGGUAAGACCCCAGAAAGACUAUCUGGUUGAUAGGUCGAAGGUGUAAGUGCAGCAAUGUAUUUAGCUUAUCGAUACUAAUAGGUCGAGGACUUGACCAAUAUUUAUU